AGUCGAACGGUAAGGCCCUUUCGGGGGUACACGAGUGGCGAACGGGUGAGUAACACGUGAGUAACCUGCCCUUGACUUCGGGAUAACAUUUGGAAACAGAUGCUAAUACCGGAUAUUCAACUUUGAACACAUGUUUUUUGUUGGAAAGUUCCGGCGGUCAGGGAUGGACUCGCGGCCUAUCAGCUUGUUGGUGAGGUAAUGGCUCACCAAGGCGUCGACGGGUAGCCGGCCUGAGAGGGCGACCGGCCACAUUGGGACUGAGAUACGGCCCAAACUCCUACGGGAGGCAGCAGUGGGGAAUAUUGCACAAUGGGCGAAAGCCUGAUGCAGCAACGCCGCGUGCGGGAUGACGGCCUUCGGGUUGUAAACCGCUUUCACUCAUGACGAAGCUUUUUGUGACGGUAGUGGGAGAAGAAGCACCGGCUAACUACGUGCCAGCAGCCGCGGUGAUACGUAGGGUGCGAGCGUUGUCCGGAUUUAUUGGGCGUAAAGAGCUUGUAGGCGGUUUGUCACGUCGGGAGUGAAAACUCAGGGCUUAACCCUGAGCCUGCUUCUGAUACGGGCAGACUUGAGGAAGGUAGGGGAGAAUGGAAUUCCUGGUGGAGCGGUGGAAUGCGCAGAUAUCAGGAGGAACACCAGUGGCGAAGGCGGUUCUCUGGACCUUUCCUGACGCUGAGAAGCGAAAGCGUGGGGAGCAAACAGGCUUAGAUACCCUGGUAGUCCACGCCGUAAACGGUGGGUACUAGGUGUGGGGGACAUUCCACGUUCUCCGUGCCGCAGCUAACGCAUUAAGUACCCCGCCUGGGGAGUACGGUCGCAAGACUAAAACUCAAAGGAAUUGA
rnacentral:rRNA from 1 species